AUACGGAGGGGGCUAGCGUUGUUCGGAAUUACUGGGCGUAAAGCGCGUGUAGGCGGAUCGUUAAGUCAGGGGUGAAAGCCCGGGGCUCAACCCCGGAACUGCCCUUGAUACUGGCGAUCUAGAGUCCGGAAGAGGUGGGCGGAAUUCCCGGUGUAGAGGUGAAAUUCUUAGAUAUCGGGAGGAACACCAGUGGCGAAGGCGGCUCACUGGUCCGGUACUGACGCUGAGACGCGAAAGCGUGGGGAGCAAACAGGAUUAGAAACCCUAGUAGUCC
rnacentral:rRNA from 1 species